rnacentral:rRNA from 1 species
UGGGGAAUAUUGCACAAUGGGCGAAAGCCUGAUGCAGCGACGCCGCGUGGAGGAUGAAUGUCUUCGGAUUGUAAACUCCUGUUAAGUGGGAAGAAAGACCAAUACCUAAUACGUAUUGGGGAUGACGGUACCACUAGAGAAAGCACCGGCAAACUUCGUGCCAGCAGCCGCGGUAAUACGAAGGGUGCAAGCGUUAUUCGGAAUCACUGGGCGUAAAGAGCGUGAAGGCGGUUUUCUAAGUCAUCUGUUAAAUAGCUCGGCUUAACUGAGCACUUGCGGGUGAAACUGGGAGACUAGAGUACAGAAGAGAAGAGUGGAAUUCUCGGAGUAGCGGUAAAAUGCGUAGAUCUCGAGAGGAACACCGGUUGCGAAGGCGGCUCUUUGGUCUGUUACUGACGCUCAAGCGCGAAAGCGUGGGGAGCAAACAGG